rnacentral:rRNA from 1 species
GGUUGAUCCUGCCAGUAGUCAUACGCUUGUCUCAAAGAUUAAGCCAUGCAUGUCUAAGUAUAAGUAUUAUACAGCGAAACUGCGAAUGGCUCAUUAUAUCAGUUAUAGUUUAUUUGAUAGUCCCUACUACUUGGAUAACCGUAGUAACUCUAGAGCUAAUACAUGCAUAAAAUCCCGACUCACGAAGGGAUGUAUUUAUUAGAUACAACCAACCCCGUAAGGGUUUAUGGUGAAUCAUAAUAACUGAGCGAACCGCAUGCGCGAGCGGCGGUGGUUCAUUCAAGUUUCUGCC